ensembl:snRNA U6 U6 spliceosomal RNA
GUGCUCACUUCGGCAGCACAUGUACUAAAGUUGGCACGAUAUAGAGAAGAUUAGCAUGGCCUUUGUGCAAGGAUGACAUGCAAAAUCCAUGAAGCGUUCCAUAAUUUU